rnacentral:rRNA from 1 species
GACGAACGCUGGCGGCGUGCCUAAUACAUGCAAGUCGAACGCAGUGGGGACGGGUGAGUAACACUUGGGUCACCUCCCCUCAGAGGUGAUAACACUUGGAAACAGGUGCUAAACCGAUACUGAUGGAUGGACCCGCGGGGCAUUUGCUAGUUGGGGAGGUAACGGCUCACAAGGGCCACGAUGCAUAGCAGGACUGAGAGGGUGAGCGGCCACACUGGGAAUGAGACACGGCACAGACGCCUACGGGAGGCAGGAGUAGGGAAUGUUCGGCAAUGGACGAAAGUCUGACCGAGCAAAGCCGCGUGAGUGAAGAAGGGGUUGGGAGCGUAAAACUCUGGUGUUAGAGAAGCGGUAUCUAACCAGAAAGCCACGGCUAACUACGUGCCAGCAGCCGCGGUAAUAC